UCUUUGUCCCUGUUCUCCUCCUUUUUCCCUCUGUUUUACAAAAUCUAGAAACUAACUACCAACAGAGGUCUGUCAAAAAAUUAAACAUUAGUAUAAUAUUUUCGUUUAUUUUUACACGCAAAUGAAAAGAAUUAUUAGAUGUAUUCGACUCCACGAAAGAAUUCUUAUUCUAUUGAUCUCAUCAAUCACGCGGAAACUCUUUUCUUUAUAUGUUUUAUAAUUCAACAGAACAUGGUUGCACCAACCGCGAGAACUACACCAAGGCACUAUCAAAAUUGAUGAUCCCGUGACUAAAUUGAGGUUUAAUUGUGAAGUUGCCUGAGAAAUUUUUUUAAUUUUAGAACACAACUAAGUUAUCAAUGUGCUUCAACUGUGAAAACUGUCUGGCUGCAAGAGUAUUAUUAUUGUUUCAGCGUCAUAAUGGAGCGUAGUGCAAAUAUAACCUUGAUACAGACAUUUGGAGGUAAAAUCAAUUUUGUAACUUGCUUUUAAGUGGUUCAUUUUUCGCCUCUGAUUAUGGACUUCUUCCAAGUACCACAUUCUCUUUUUGGGAUAGAGCAGGUUUUAGUUUUCAUCCAAUAUUACUUACAAAGGCUGAUGCAGAACAAACUUGAAGUUUCGCCUUGAUUGUGUGACCAAAAGGAAUAACAAAUUCUCAAUCAUAGGUAAAACACAAUUUUUCCUCCUUUUUUGGAAUAGUUUAUUUAUUAUGUCAUGAGUUUGUGGAAUAGUUUAUUUAUUAUGUCAUGAGUUUGUGGUCGGAUCUGAAUGUACUCGAUAGUGUUCUCGAAACUAUUUGUUCUUUAGCUAAGGUUUGGCAGUUAUUUGAUUUCCACACUGCAGUUUUAAUUUGGAUUAUGCUUUGUUAGUCAGUACGAUACAUUGUAAUGCGAUUUCCACAUGGAAUAUGUGUAAUGUGUUAUUUGAUUUUUAUUAACCCUCUGAAUUUACGUUAAAGAGGGCUAAACUAUUGAUGAUUGAAUUUUGUUUCUUCCUGUACUAUAUAUUUGUGCAAGGUUUCAUUUUCUUUCAAAAAGUGUAUGACAGAUUCAUUUAGCCAAUUUUAUUGGGAGAUUCAAAGUAUAUGACACAACCUUUGCACAGUUUCUAUUAUUCAUAUAUCUGAAUGUAGUCAAUGUCAACUUCUCCUGCUCAUAAAUUCUUGAGAAUUCACUGCUCUUGGUAUAGAAUGAAUAAGCAGGCCUUUUAGUUUGGUGUCUAAGGUGGGGUUCUGUGCAUCUGAUUAAGGUGCUUUUCCAGAUUCCAAACUAUAAUAUAUCAAAUUAUAAGAGCCUACUAGCUCAGCAGGUUUGGCUUUGAAACUAAAGUUCAUGUAACUUCUGUCUUUAUGCCUUUCGGUUUACAUAUCUAAAAUAACUGAAACCAUGAAUUAGCAUUCGUUGCAGAUAUAUCUGAAUGCAAAAAAGUUAUUUUCUGAUGACUCCAAUGGUUAAUCACACAAAUUGUAAAUUGUGUUGUACUAUUCUUUAUGCUCUCUCACUGCAUAAGUGAAUCUUGAACUCCCAAAUUUGACACUAUUUUGUCAAUUUUACAAUCUAGUAUGCUCUGUUGUUUGCUCCCUGUAAUAAUGACUGCAAAGUAGUAAUCUUUUCUGCAUAUAUUUCUCUUAUGAACUCUCCUAAGAUUUUUUUUUUUUUCCAGUACACCAUCUAAAGGGUCAACUAAGCCUCUAGAGUUACGGGCAUUUGACCGAAAAUAGGAUCAUCUUAUUCUUUUUUUUAUUAGAAACUAAGCCUCUAGAAUUACGGGCAUUUGACCGAAAACAGGAUCAUUUUAUUCUUUGUUUUUUU